ACAGACACAGAGAGAGACACAUACUCACAGGCACUGAGAGAAAGGCACACAUAUAAAUACAUAUACACAGGAGAGAGACACACCCACCCACAGUCGCACACAUCACAAACACACACUCACACAGAGACACACACAUACAGAGUAGAGAGAGAGACACACAGACAAUAUCAACAGCAGGGCCUCGGGGUGAACGAAGCCCAUUUCCCGCUCGCGCCGCACUGCGCGUCUGGAGCUCCUCCUCCCACAGUAUCGGCGUUGAGUAAACAGCCGGCAGCAACUUGUAGAGGCUCGGAGCCAAGCACACUGGAGUGUUAUGGAAUGAAAACCACACAGAAACUGGAUGAAAGCAUCAAAAGUGCAGUUACAGUUCCACUGCCUCCAUAUCUGGAAGAUGAUGUUUCGCUUUCACUACCAAAUCUUAAAUGGAUGCAAAUCUGAAUUGAGAAAAGUACUUUUACCUCAACAAACCUGUUUGCCUGCACAGACCAUGUACAAUUUGCCAUCUGACCAAUUGAUUGAAUCUCCGAGUGAUGCAACCACACGUAAGGACCCAAAGAAGCACAGCUCUGUGAAAUGUCGUCUAACUCCUUGAAUUAAUAAAUCAAGCAAAACUCCAG